GAUGAACGCUGGCGGCGUGCCUAAUACAUGCAAGUCGAGCGAACAGACGAGGAGCUUGCUCCUCUGACGUUAGCGGCGGACGGGUGAGUAACACGUGGAUAACCUACCUAUAAGACUGGGAUAACUUCGGGAAACCGGAGCUAAUACCGGAUAAUAUAUUGAACCGCAUGGUUCAAUAGUGAAAGACGGCUUUGCUGUCACUUAUAGAUGGAUCCGCGCCGCAUUAGCUAGUUGGUAAGGUAACGGCUUACCAAGGCAACGAUGCGUAGCCGACCUGAGAGGGUGAUCGGCCACACUGGAACUGGGACACGGUCCAGACUCCUACGGGAGGCGGCAGUAGGGAAUCUUCCGCAAUGGGCGAAAGCCUGACGGAGCAACGCGGCGUGAGUGAUGAAGGUCUUCGGAUCGUAAAACUCUGUUAUUAGGGAAGAACAAAUGUGUAAGUAACUAUGCACGUCUUGACGGUACCUAAUCAGAAAGCCACGGCUAACUACGUG
rnacentral:rRNA from 1 species